rnacentral:rRNA from 1 species
AUGUCUAAGUAUAAGCAAACUAUAUACUGUGAAACUGCGAAUGGCUCAUUAAAUCAGUUAUCGUUUAUUUGAUAGUACCUUACUACUUGGAUAACCGUGGUAAUUCUAGAGCUAAUACAUGCUAAAAACCUCGACUUCGGAAGGGGUGUAUUUAUUAGAUAAAAAACCAAUGCCCUUCGGGGCUCCUUGGUGAUUCAUGAUAACUUAACGAAUCGCAUGGCCUUGUGCCGGCGAUGGUUCAUUCAAAUUUCUGCCCUAUCAACUUUCGAUGUUUGGGUCUUGGCCAAACAUGGUGUCAACGGGUAACGGGGAAUUAGGGUUCGAUUCCGGAGAAGGAGCCUGAGAAACGGCUACUACAUCCAAGGAAGGCAGCAGGCGCGCAAAUUACCCAAUCCCGAUUCGGGGAGGUACGUACCAUGUCCUCUUUUCUCUCGUGUUUUUGACCUCCAGCUAACAAACACCAUAGGUAGUGACAAUAAAUACUGAUACAGGGCUCUUUCGGGUCUUGUAAUUGGAAUGAGUACAAUUUAAAUCCCUUAACGAGGAACAAUUGGAGGGCAAGUCUGGUGCCAGCAGCCGCGGUAAUUCCAGCUCCAAUAGCGUAUAUUAAAGUUGUUGCAGUUAAAAAGCUCGUAGUUGAACCUGGGCCUGGCUGGCCGGUCCGCCUCACCGCGUGCACUGGUCCGGCCGGGUCUUUCUUCUCGAGGAACCGCAUGCCCUUCACUGGGUGUGCCGGGGAGUCGGGACCUUUACUGUGAAAAAAUUAGAGUGUUCAAAGCAGGCCUAUGCUCGAAUACAUUAGCAUGGAAUAAUAAAACAAGCACGUCGUGUCUUAUUUUGUUGGUUUCUAAGACCGCGUGAAUGAUUAAUAGGGAUAGUCGGGGGCAUCAGUAUUCAGUUGUCAGAGGUGAAAUUCUUGGAUUUACUGAAGACUAACUACUGCGAAAGCAUUUGCCAAGGAUGUUUUCAUUAAUCAGUGAACGAAAGUUAGGGGAUCGAAGACGAUCAGAUACCGUCGUAGUCUUAACCAUAAACUAUGCCGACUAGGGAUCGGGCGAUGUUAUUUUUUUGACUCGCUCGGCACCUUCCGAGAAAUCAAAGUCUUUGGGUUCUGGGGGGAGUAUGUCGCAAGGC